GUGCCAGCAGCCGCGGUAAUACAGAGGUGGCAAGCGUUGUUCGGAAUUACUGGGCGUAAAGGGCGCGUAGGCGGUCCUACAAGUCCCGCGUGAAAGCCCCCGGCUCAACUGGGGAAUGGCGCGGGAAACUGUUGGGCUUGAGUUCGGGAGAGGGAAGCGGAAUUCCGGGUGUAGCGGUGAAAUGCGUAGAUAUCCGGAGGAACACCGGUGGCGAAGGCGGCUUCCUGGACCGACACUGACGCUGAGGCGCGAAAGCUAGGGGAGCAAACGGGAUUAGAUACCCCCGUAGUCC
rnacentral:rRNA from 1 species